UAAACCAUGUGACACAGAGUCAGGUCCAGGU
rnacentral:piRNA from 1 species